ACCCUCCAGACUCCUUACCUCUGGGGUAUAAUAAGCAUUGGUCUGAGUGGUUAAUGAAAGGAGGAAAUGUAAAAUUGAAGUGAACUUGGGAUUCUUUAGUGACAUCAAGUUUAUUUCAAACAUGG
rnacentral:snoRNA from 1 species